CGCCGCCUCGUCGGCGCACCGGCGCUCUCGUGUUUCUGUAAAGCGGCAGCUCUACUCAGAACCGGCUGAAGGCCGAACCUUGUGAAGGUCACGGCCGCUGCGCGGCGCUCGGCCGGCUCACGUGGGGGACGAAUGCAGACGAAUGGCCGGUUCGUCAGUGGUCUGUGCCUUUGUGUUUGUUUUUAUGUAGAAUAUCAACGGCGUUGUGCUAAUGGCGCUUAUACGAGGUCGAAGUUGGUGCGACCAAGAACCCGUUUUGCACGCUGAGACUUCGCAUGGGAGGCAAAACUUGUCGUUACGGCACCACGGCAGUAAAUACAGCCCGUUCGACGACAACUCCCCGUCUCUGCAAACGGCGUGCGAACAGAAAGUGAUGAUCCCGCAACUCAAUGUGACAGUGCCGCCCCUAAAUCUGUUAGUAGA
rnacentral:lncRNA from 1 species